AAUUUUAAUAGAAUAUUUGUUAAUGUUUUUUAAUUCAGGCGAGGUCGAAGUUUCCUAAGAUUAACAUGUUCAAGGAGGUAAACAUGCAGCCUGGUGAUAAGCUAACGGAGCAACUCCAUGUAAGUUUUUGUAAUUCUUAAAUUUAUAUAUAGUAUUAAUAUUAAUCAUUUUUAAAUAAAUAUAAGGGUUAAUCUUAGUUUACUACCCUCAAAUUUCUUGAUUUUCAAUAUUUAGUACGUCAAGUUUUUUUAGAGUGAUACAUGAAGUCAUAAUUUUGGGACACUUUCAUACAUCCGUUAAGGUUAAUAUUAAAUCAACUGUUAAUUGGUGAUGUGGUGCCAACGUGAACAAUUAUUGGGUGCCCCAUGUCAAUAUGGGCCCACAUGGAUAUUAAAAAUAAAUAAAUAAACUAAAUACCUAAAUACAUCGACCUUUCCCCUCCCUCUUCCACUCCACUUUCCUCUGUCUUAUCUUUCCAUACACGACCCACCUCUCCCUCACCACCUGAAGGAUUAUUUUGUAAAAAACAUGUUCAUUUAAGCAACAUCAAAUAGCAUGCAAUUAACAAUUAAAGGCGGAAUCAUGCUAGCAUGCACUUAAAAACAAAACAUUAACCAAGAAAUUCAAAGCCUAGUAGAUUGGUGAACCAAGAAUCAACUCAAAACAAAGUGAGUUGAGAUUUAUACCUUUG
rnacentral:lncRNA from 1 species